ACGGAGGGUGCAAGCGUUAUUCGGAAUUACUGGGCGUAAAGCGCGUGUAGGCGGUCCCGCAAGUCUGAUGUGAAAGCCCCGGGCUUAACCCGGGAAGUGCAUUGGAAACUGUGGGACUUGAGUACUGGAGAGGAUGGGGGAAUGCCCGGUGUAGAGGUGAAAUUCGUAGAGAUCGGGCGGAAUAUCAGUGGCGAAGGCAGCUAACUGGACUGUAACUGACGCUGAGACGCGAAAGCGUGGGGAGCAAACAG
rnacentral:rRNA from 1 species